GCCGUUUUCCCGCCCGGCGCCGCCAGGAGGGAGUUUCUCCUCAGCGCGGGCAGGUGUGGCCGUUCCGCCGCCCGCCCCGUCUGGGCCGCCUCGCUCCAGCGCGGGAGCGCGGGCACCCGGGCCGGAGCGCGGCUGCCGCUUCCCGCCUCAGCAGCCUCCCCUCGCCGGGCGUCACCGCGAGCAACAGGUCUGUGCCCCCUCCUCCCGCUGCCGCUGUGCGCUAGUGUGUCAGGCGAACAAAGGGGCUGAGCGCGGCCCCGCGCCUCCUCCACACAGCGGCCGCCCGGCCUCCUCCGCCAGCCCGGCCCCUGCGCUUCAGCCAUUUGCGUCGCCUGGCAUCGCACCGCCGCGCCCCCCCGCCCCCCCCCUGCUUCUCCUUCCCGGCUUCCCCCGCCAGCUCCCGCUCCGGUGGCCGAGCAGCGGGGCCGCUGCGCUACCGGCAGCGAGGCGGGGCGGAGGGAGCUUCCCCACAGCAAUGAGGGGCUCGCCGGCCGUCGCCGAAAGGGGGAAUGCCUAUGAGGAGCAGUGAUAGGAAGAAACCUUCAUGAAGGUCAUGUAAAGGAAAACUUGGCUAGCAGGGCAUCUCCUUCCAGAAGAGAUUGCAACCACUACCUUCCACUGAAGUAGUUGCACAAGGUGAAUAAAUCAUGAUAGUACUCCGAAGUAUCUGCCUUUAAAGGACAUUGUUCCUCACCGCCCAGCAUAGCGUAGGGGCCAGUUGUCAUGAGAAGGAUGCAGUGUGUGCAAAACGCCUAGAAUUUUUGCACAGCAACAGGAAAACCAGAAUUGCUUUUCAGGCUGCUGAGGCGCUCAUCGGGGCGAUCCCCCCACCAGGAAGAGGUCAGGUUUUCGGGGGGUAAGCUAGUGCAGUUAGCCCCGGGUAGCGGGAGGCAGCAGAGCCGCAGGGUGGAUCCCCCAGAGAAAGGAGAAGCGCGGUUUGAGCCCCGGAAACCAGCGGCAGCCCCGCCUGCGGGAACGGCGGCUCUGAGUAUCAAGGCGGAGAAGCGGGGUGGGGGAGCCGGCAGGGGGGAGCGGGGCGCCGGCAGGGGGGAGCGGGGCCCGGCCGCGCGAAGCUGAGCGCUCUCCGCUCUCCCCCGCAGGUGAUGGCCGCUCCGCCGCGGCCGGCAGCCCUCCGCACGGGCGCAGCGCGGCGCC
rnacentral:lncRNA from 1 species